UACGUAGGCAGCGAGCGUUGUUCGGAAUUACUGGGCGUAAAGAGUGUGUAGGCGGUGCUCUAAGUUCGGUGUGAAAUCUCCUGGCUCAACUGGGAGGGUGCGCCGGAAACUGGAGUGCUUGAGCGUGGGAGAGGAAAGCGGAAUUCCUGGUGUAGCGGUGAAAUGCGCAGAUAUCAGGAAGAACACCCGUGGCUAAGGCGGCUCUCUAGUACGGUACUGGACGCUGAGACGCGAAAGCGUGGGGAGCGAACAGG
rnacentral:rRNA from 1 species